AUUGAACGCUGGCGGCAUGCCUAACACAUGCAAGUCGAACGGGGCAGCAAUGCCUAGUGGCGGACGGGUGAGGAAUACGUAGGAAUCUGCCCUUAAGUGGGGGAUAACCAGGGGAAACCCUGACUAAUACCGCAUGAUCUCUUCGGAGCAAAGAGGGGGACCGCAAGGCCUCUCGCUUCUGGAUGAGCCUACGUCUGAUUAGCUAGUUGGUAGGGUAAAGGCCUACCCAGGCGACGAUGAGUAACUGGUCUGAGAGGAUGAUCAGUCACACCGGAACUGAGCAGCGGGACGGACUCGUACGGGAGGGAGUAGUGGGGAAUAUUGGACCAUGGGCGCAAGCCGGAUCCAGCAAUGCCGCGUGUGUGAAGAAGGCCUUCGGGUUGUAAAGCACUUUAGCCUGGAAAGAAAAAACUUUGGUGAACACCCAAAGUCUUGACGGUACCAGGAGAAUAAGCACCGGCUAACUCUGUGCCAGCCGCCGCCGUAAAAC
rnacentral:rRNA from 1 species